ACACCUAAGAGAUCGAAAAAUGUUGAGUGUACGAAAAAAUGACAAAACGUCUGUAUAGUUCAAAAUACAAUACAUUCAUAUAAAGACUAAUGCGUGACCGUUUCACCCAUUAAAAAGGCCCGUGACAGGUAUAAAUGUAUGGCACGUUAUCCAAAUGACUGUUACUGGGGCAUGAACUGUUGCCGUGACAAGAGAAAAUUUCACUGCAAUUGUUGGAGGUGACGGAACUGGGCUGAAGUGGAUCGCGUACUGCUGGGCUCUGGAAUUGAGCAAGCAGGGGGGAAAGACGUGGCCAAUACAACUUGUGCUUGUGCAGACUGAACCUCACAGCCCAAUGGCAGAAGAUCAAGCCCAAUUUGCAUUGCCCAUUGGUUGCUUAGGCUUCAUUAUAGACGUCCAAAUCUUAGUAGAAGCCUUUAAAGAACUGAACAUGAUAUCUGCCUCUUGAAUUAUUUUUUUCAGAUGACAAGAAAGCCCUUGGUAUAUCCAUGAAAAUACAGAGUAUACCAGGAAUUUACUAAGGUCUUUAAAGGGUAUUUUGGUUAAGAAGAUGGUAUUUUUUUAUAUGUAUGAUUAAUGUGUCACAUGGCUAGAAAUUACUCAUCAAUAUUAAGAAUGUGGGAAAGGCUAAACUGAAAUAUUAAAUAUUUAAAAAAUAUGCAUAAUUUUAUAAUGGCUAUAGGCUUUUCAACCUCCUUUCAUUUUUGUCGCCUAAACGUCUGUGUUUUACACUCCAGCUUGUGCCUCUAUAUAUUGAAGACACUGUGUAAUUGAGAUACUCUGUACAGUGCUGUGUUUGUGUACCUCGAUAUAAUUUGUAGCCUUAUUUUAAAACUAGUUCCAGGAGAAUUAGAGAUACGUGUGGACAGUUGGCUUGCUGCUUACUAUCAUGUGCUGGCACAAUCCACAGAUUCGAAUUUGUAGAUAUUGCUUUCUGUCGCUGCUAGUUAUUCCUUCUUUUUCAGUUGGAUGAACGAACAAGUAAUACCUUCUCAGCGCCGCUUUGGCUGGGAACCCGACACAUGGCUGACAAAUUUAGAAUAGAACAUUUCAAAGUCCGAUUCCCUCACGAUAUGUUUAAGUCCAGCAGUAUAAAAUUAGGUUGUGGAUGGGAUUGGGAAGAUUCCAAAAUCAAUUCUUAGCGUAAAUUUAACUCUUAUUAGUGUUCCGAACGCUGCUUUUUAAUUCCUUAGGAAUAUCAAAUCCAGAAAGCCUAAGGAAGCAAACAGCCUAAUAGCCCUAUACAUUGAUCACCCUGUUUCAUCAUGAUCGUUGAUAGAACUGAUGCAUGGGAUCAUUGGACCAUGAAAGCUGAUAUUCAUCUAUCUCCCCGGUUCAAAAUAGCUGAGCAUUCAUGGUGCAGGGUACAUGCUGUGGUAGCUCUUGGAUACUGACAAUUGCAGACGAGCAUACUGAACUUUUAAUUUCUGAGUGUUUCUGCCGGUUUUGAUAAAGCAAUGAAUGGUUAACAAAAUUUAAUUCUGUCGUCCAGUUACCAAAUUACAGAAGAUUAUCUCCUUUGGAAAAUUAGCUUCCUUGCGACUUUUAGCUGGAUAAUUAUGCUUGACGUAAGCACAGGGGAUAGGAUAAAUGCAUCCGUCCAAACACGACCACUAAAUAAGGAUAACCAUGAUCUGCCUUUCUACAACUUAUCU